AUUUUACUAUUACAGAAAUGAUGCCAUCGAAGCACACGUACAAGCAGCGCACAAACAUUAUCGUACAAAUUUAUCGUCGUUAGGUAUAAUAAAUAAUAUGUGAACAAUCUAUACUGAGUAAGAAACACAAGUGUUUAUGGUCGUACGUCAGAUCUUUCUGAAGUGAAUUACUUUGUUUUACAUCAGAGCUGUCCAGAUAUCUGACCGUCUAAGGAAAUGAAUUCCUUCUGUCAUUGACCUGGGCCUUAGUUCAUCCUGCAUGAUAGAACGAAUUUAAAAUACAAAAUUCUCAAAUGCUUCCACUGAGUUACAAUAUGACUGAUGCAGAUACUUAUCCUUUUUUUAUAAACGGAUAUGAAAAUAUAUUUAAAAAAAAUACCUCCAGACUUUAUUGUGAAGGCCUUAUAAAACAUAGUUUAUUGCUUUGAGAAAUAAAAAAAAAACAAAGAUAUCAAGAAAUGAUACGUAUCCUUUUUUUAAAAAGGUAUAUAAAAAUAUUAAAAAAAAAAAUACCUUUAUUGUAAAUGCCUUAUAAAACAUAGUUUAUUGCUU
rnacentral:misc_RNA from 1 species